ACACGUAUAUAUAAUAUAUAUGAACAGAGAUGAAAAUAAACAGGUCGUUUUAUUAUCACCGGUCAGUUUGUGAAUUCAGCAAAAAGUUUCCAUCUACCAAAUCCACUCAUAAGGCUUUGAUUGCCCUGAUGCUAGAAUAGCAGAAACUUGCCCAAAGGACCCUUGCAGUGGGAUUGAACCUGGAACCAUGUGACUGGAUAACCUUAGCACAUGACAGGAGGAGCAGCCAUUUACACAGGAAAAAGGAGUGAACAUUAUGUCGAUAAGUA